rnacentral:rRNA from 1 species
AAUGAACGCUGGCGGCAUGCCUAACACAUGCAAGUCGAACGAAGGCUUCGGCCUUAGUGGCGCACGGGUGCGUAACGCGUGGGAAUCUGCCCUUGGGUUCGGAAUAACAGUUAGAAAUGACUGCUAAUACCGGAUGAUGUCGUAAGACCAAAGAUUUAUCGCCCAAGGAUGAGCCCGCGUAGGAUUAGCUAGUUGGUGGGGUAAAGGCCUACCAAGGCGACGAUCCUUAGCUGGUCUGAGAGGAUGAACAGCCACACUGGGACUGAGACACGGCCCAGACCCCUCCGGGAGGCGGGAGUGGGGAAUAUUGGACAAGGGGCGAAAGCCUGAUCCAGCAAUGCCGGGGGAGUGAGGAAGGCCUUGGGGUUGUAAAGCUCUUUUCCCCGGGAUGAUAAUGGCAGUACCGGGAAAAUAAGCUCCGGCUAACUUCGU